rfam:Actinomyces graevenitzii C83 genomic scaffold supercont1.1, whole genome shotgun sequence.
CAUGGACACCUUUCACAACGGAUCGUCCGGCACGUACCUGCCGGUGAAGGGAAGCAAGU